GGAAUUUUUCUUCAUACUGUUUAGAAUUUUAAUCCUAAUAGGGUUAAAUAGUUAUUACGUGUUAGUUUACUUUGUUACUAUUUCUUUUCCAGGAGCGUUGAGAUUACACAAGCCCUAAGGUUACAAAUGGAAGUUCAGAAACGUCUUCAUGAGCAGCUCGAGAUCCAACGGACGCUGCAGUUACAGAUUGAAAAACAGGGCCGAUACCUACAGAUGAUGUUUGAGAAACAACAAAAGAUACAAGA